GUGGGGGAUAUUGCGCAAUGGGGGCAACCCUGACGCAGCAACGCCGCGUGAAGGAUGAAGGUUUUCGGAUUGUAAACUUCUUUUAUUAAGGACGAAAAAUGACGGUACUUAAUGAAUAAGCUCCGGCUAACUACGUGCCAGCAGCCGCGGUAAUACGUAGGGAGCAAGCGUUGUCCGGAUUUACUGGGUGUAAAGGGUGCGUAGGCGGCUUUGCAAGUCAGAUGUGAAAUCUAUGGGCUCAACCCAUAAACUGCAUUUGAAACUGUAGAGCUUGAGUGAAGUAGAGGCAGGCGGAAUUCCCCGUGUAGCGGUGAAAUGCGUAGAGAUGGGGAGGAACACCAGUGGCGAAGGCGACUUACUGGGCCACAACUGACGCUGAGGCACGAAAGCGUGGGGGAGCAAACA
rnacentral:rRNA from 1 species